rnacentral:rRNA from 1 species
UGCAGUCGACGGAGCACCCUUGAUUGAGGUUUCGGCCAAAUGAUAGGAAUGCUUAGUGGCGGACUGGUGAGUAACGCGUGAGGAACCUGCCUUUCAGAGGGGGACAACAGUUGGAAACGACUGCUAAUACCGCAUGACGCAUUUUGAUCGCAUGGUCGAAAUGCCAAAGAUUUAUCGCUGAAAGAUGGCCUCGCGUCUGAUUAGCUAGUUGGUGAGGUAACGGCCCACCAAGGCGACGAUCGGUAGCCGGACUGAGAGGUUGACCGGCCACAUUGGGACUGAGAUACGGCCCAGACUCCUACGGGAGGCAGCAGUGGGGAAUAUUGGGCAAUGGGCGCAAGCCUGACCCAGCAACGCCGCGUGAAGGAAGAAGGCUUUCGGGUUGUAAACUUCUUUUAAGUGGGAAGAGCAGAAGACGGUACCACUUGAAUAAGCCACGGCUAACUACGUGCCAGCAGCCGCGGUAAUACGUAGGUGGCAAGCGUUGUCCGGAUUUACUGGGUGUAAAGGGCGUGCAGCCGGGCAUGCAAGUCAGAUGUGAAAUCUCAGGGCUUAACCCUGAAACUGCAUUUGAAACUGUAUGUCUUGAGCGCCGGAGAGGUAAUCGGAAUUCCUUGUGUA